GAACAUUCUUAAUUUUAUACUAAAACUGGAACAAUACAAGCUAGAUUAGCAUGGCCUCUGCACAAGGAUAACUCUCAAAUUCAUGAAGCGUUCCAAAAAUUA
rnacentral:snRNA from 1 species